AUCAUUUAUUCUGAACACAACAAAUCAUCACUUGAAAUCACAUGCGUAUAAAUCACAGCCUCAUUUCUGCAAAAUUUGCUUCUUAAAAAAUAUGAAAAAUUUGUUUGGUGGACAGAGCGAAACACUGCAGCAACCGGCACCGUAAUGAUCGCCUCCACCAAACCAGCCAGCUUUCACAGAAGAGCUCUUGACCCGAAGGGCACAGGAAGUGAUGUCAUUAAACCUCGUGUACCACAGGUAGAAUCACAUGACGCAGAGGGGUCCAGAAACAAAAGUGUCCAUGAAUGAAUUUGGCACAAACAAAAAACACAGCAAAUUUUUAUAGGAGUAAAUAACAAGAUGAAAGACUUCAAAAAAACUAAAUCAACAAGUCAUUUUUGGCAGAUAUUUAAGAUUACAAUGAAAUAAAGGCAUCAAUUUGAUUCACAUUCCAGCUUUGCACAAACACACGAUUAUAGAGGCACACAGAUACACACACACCUCGAGAAAAACACACAGCAGAUCAGACGUGUGUGUGCAAUGUUUGUAGGUCAGAAAUGUCUGUUCACAGGAAAUAUUGACUACAAACAGUGCUUCUAGAAAAAAAUCUACAAAAUUAACAAUGGCUAAAAUUCUCCAGUAAUAGAACCACAGUACAUAAUCCGCCUCUUUAUUAUAGUACCAGUUCGAAAAUCUAUAAAACUAAAUCAAUUUGAUCUUAAAUAUACAUAAAUGCUGUAUCAGACUUGAAAAUCUGAAAUCGAGUAUUUGAAAUGACCAAAACAUUUCCACAAAUGUACACCGAAAAGCUGCUAAAAAUGCUGUCCGCUACUGAAAAUAAAUUAAAAAAUGAAUUGAAAAUAAAUUA